AGCGUAAACUCCUUUUCUUAGGGAAGAAUUCUGACGGUACCUAAGGAAUAAGCACCGGCUAACUCCGUGCCAGCAGCCGCGGUAAUACGGAGGGUGCAAGCGUUACUCGGAAUCACUGGGCGUAAAGGGCGCGUAGGCGGAUUAUCAAGUCUCUUGUGAAAUCUAAUGGCUUAACCAUUAAACUGCUUGGGAAACUGAUAGUCUGGAGUGAGGGAGAGGCAGAUGGAAUUGGUGGUGUAGGGGUAAAAUCCGUAGAUAUCACCAAGAAUACCCAUUGCGAAGGCGAUCUGCUGGAACUCAACUGACGCUAAGGCGCGAAAGCGUGGGGAGCAAACAGGAUUAGAUACCCUGGUAGUCCACGCCCUAAACGAUGUACACUAGUUGUUGGGGUGCUAGUCAUCUCAGUAAUGCAGCUAACGCAUUAAGUGUACCGCCUGGGGAGUACGGUCGCAAGAUUAAAACUCAAAGGAAUAGACGGGGACCCGCACAAGCGGUGGAGCAUGUGGUUUAAUUCGAAGAUACGCGAAGAACCUUACCUGGGCUUGAUAUCCUAAGAACCUCUUAGAGAUAAGAGGGUGCUAGCUUGCUAGAACUUAGAGACAGGUGCUGCACGGCUGUCGUCAGCUCGUGUCGUGAGAUGUUGGGUUAAGUCCCGCAACGAGCGCAACCCACGUAUUUAGUUGCUAACGGUUCGGCCGAGCACUCUAAAUAGACUGCCUUCGUAAGGAGGAGGAAGGUGUGGACGACGUCAAGUCAUCAUGGCCCUUAUGCCCAGGGCGACACACGUGCUACAAUGGCAUAUACAAUGAGACGCAAUACCGCGAGGUGGAGCAAAUCUAUAAAAUAUGUCCCAGUUCGGAUUGUUCUCUGCAACUCGAGAGCAUGAAGCCGGAAUCGCUAGUAAUCGUAGAUCAGCCAUGCUACGGUGAAUACGUUCCCGGGUCUUGUACUCACCGCCCGUCACACCAUGGGAGUUGAUUUCACUCGAAGCCGGAAUACUAAACUAGUUACCGUCCACAGUGGAAUCAGCGACUGGGGUGAAGUCGUAACAAGGUAACCGUAGGAGAACCUGCGGUUGGAUCACCUCCUUUCUA
rnacentral:rRNA from 1 species